rnacentral:rRNA from 1 species
GGCCUACCAAGGCGUCGACGGGUAGCCGGCCUGAGAGGGUGGACGGCCACAUUGGGACUGAGAUACGGCCCAGACUCCUACGGGAGGCAGCAGUGGGGAAUAUUGCACAAUGGGCGAAAGCCUGAUGCAGCGACGCCGCGUGGGGGAUGACGGCCUUCGGGUUGUAAACCUCUUUCGACAGGGACGAAGCUUUUUGUGACGGUACCUGUAUAAGAAGCACCGGCUAACUACGUGCCAGCAGCCGCGGUAAUACGUAGGGUGCGAGCGUUGUCCGGAAUUACUGGGCGUAAAGAGCUCGUAGGUGGUUUGUCGCGUCGUCUGUGAAAUUCCGGGGCUUAACUCCGGGCGUGCAGGCGAUACGGGCAAUACUUGAGUGCUGUAGGGGAGACUGGAAUUCCUGGUGUAGCGGUGAAAUGCGCAGAUAUCAGGAGGAACACCAAUGGCGAAGGCAGGUCUCUGGGCAGUAACUGACGCUGAGGAGCGAAAGCAUGGGUAGCGAACAGGAUUAGAUACCCUGGUAGUCCAUGCCGUAAACGGUGGGCGCUAGGUGUAGGGGUCUUCCACGACUUCUGUGCCGUAGCUAACGCAUUAAGCGCCCCGCCUGGGGAGUACGGCCGCAAGGCUAAAACUCAAAGGAAUUGACGGGGGCCCGCACAAGCGGCGGAGCAUGUGGAUUAAUUCGAUGCAACGCGAAGAACCUUACCUGGGCUUGACAUACACCGGACCGGGCCAGAGAUGGUCCUUCCCUUGUGGCUGGUGUACAGGUGGUGCAUGGUUGUCGUCAGCUCGUGUCGUGAGAUGUUGGGUUAAGUCCCGCAACGAGCGCAACCCUUGUCUUAUGUUGCCAGCACGUGAUGGUGGGGACUCAUGAGAGACUGCCGGGGUCAACUCGGAGGAAGGUGGGGGAUGACGUCAAAUCAUCAUGCCCCUUAUGUCCAGGGCUUCACAACAUGCUACAAUGGUCGGUACAACGGCGUCGCGAACAUCGUAA